GACGAACGCUGGCGGCGUGCUUAACACAUGCGAGUCGAACGGAAAGGCCCUGCCUUUGUGGGGUGCUCGAGUGGCGAACGGGUGAGUAACACGUGAGUAACCUGCCCUUGACUUUGGGAUAACUUCAGGAAACUGGGGCUAAUACCGGAUAGGAGCUCCUGCCGCAUGGUGGGGGUUGGAAAGUUUCGGCGGUUGGGGAUGGACUCGCGGCUCAUCAGCUUGUUGGCGAGGUAGUGGCUUACCAAGGCUUUGACGGGUAGCCGGCCUGAGAGGGGGACCGGCCACAUUAGGACUGAGGUACGGCCCAGACUCCUACGGGAGGCAGCAGUGGAGAGUAUUGCAGAAUGGGCGGAAGCCUGAUGCAACAACGCCGCGUGCGGGAUGACGGCCUUCGGGUUGUAAACCGCUUUCGCCUGAGACGAAGCGUGAGUGACGGUAAUGGGUAAAGAAGCACCGGCUAACUACGUG
rnacentral:rRNA from 1 species